UCAGACAAACAGAGAUUUCAACAAUUAUAUAGAUAAUUAACAGAUUAAAUAUUUUAAACUAGUUUCUGUUUUUCAUGAAAUCAGGCGUUAUUGAGCUUUGGUUGAAAAUCUUAAUCGUUCUUUGACCUGAAGUGUUAUAACAAAUUUUUUUUUAAAUCAGGUGUUUUGUAGGUUUGCUGUUUUAGAAGUAUGGCGUUUUGAAAAUUGAAUGUUUUAAAAUUUCAGCUUUCUGCUUUAAAGUUUGAUGCUUGAAAGUGUUUUGUAACUGUUGCCAUUUUUUAAAAGUUUGAUUUUUUUAAAGUUGGGUUUUUAAAAGUUUGAUAAUUUAUAACUUGAGUGUUUAAUAUUUUUUAAAUUGAGUAUUUUUUUUAAAUACUGUUUAUUUUUAAAUAUUUUUUUUGUAGUGAGAUGGUUACAGGGUUUGGGGUGUGAUUGGUGUAUUAAAAGCUUGUCGUUUAAAAUUUGGAGUAUUUUGAAAGUUUGUUGUUUUGACACUUGGGUGUUUAUUCUUAGAAAAAUAGGUUGUUUACAACCCCCUCUCCCAUUCAAAAGGUAAAAAACUUGUUUUCUAAUCUAGUCUGCUCUAUUUUACUGAUAAGAAUGUUUAUAAAAUAACACUUUACUAUAAAUAUAAAUAUAAGAUUAGACGUGUUUAGUCUCCAGCUUGUCUCCAGUAUUAAAUCUUAAACCAGAUACAAGAUGAGCUCUGUGCAGGAUGCUUGGGGAAAUAUAAAGGACUCCGGUAAUGGCGGGUCAACGGGGGGAACCUUUGGAGAUGCAUGGGAAAAGCACAAUGGAAAAUGCAAACUUAAAAACAAACCAGCAUUAAAGCCUCAACACCUGAGUUCGAACCCUUCUUCCAAUAAAGUUUGCGGCGGG